AUCCUGCCAUCAAUGACUGAACCUCCCUGAAAUCUUCUUAUCAGUUACUGCUAAGAUGAGAAGGAUAACAGGAAAGAGGAGCGCUUAAGUGGUUUUCGUGACAGUUAAUUUCAUCUAUUUAUCAAAUGACAGUCUGCUUUAAAUUGCUGGGAUUAACUUCAGAGAAGGCAAGAGAUGGAGACUCCUUUGUCAGCAUCUGUGCUGGUUAAAGAAGGAAGUUUCGUGCACGCUUGCUCACUCUCUUGCAGGUUAUUGCCCCUGCUAGGCAAGCAUGCUGAAGUGUUUCGCUGAGUACACCCGGAUUUAAUUCAGCCCAAGCUGAUCACGUUAUCAAAUCCUGGUUACCUGGGAGCCCGGGUCAUUUUGACAGAAGGGCAGGGAGUGUGCAGACCAGCUGCACGGACAGCACGUCUGGGAAUGUGGUCUGUUAUCAGGAGGGAUGGACUGCAUAGUUUGCCAAUGCAAGUGGAGAGAGAGAGGGUGAAUUUGGGCUGGCUCCGCAUAUGGGAGCUGAGCCCUGUGAUGGCAGCGUGGGGUCAAGCUCCUGCUGAGCUCUGGGCAUCCGUACUGGGUUCAGACGUGAAGUGCCUCAUCCCAAGAACUUCCGAGACAUCUCCCAUGGCCGCUGAAAGCUGAGCUGCUGCAGCUCCUUGAGACAGCCCGUAAUUCUUGCAUCUUAAUAUGGGCCAUUGUCAUACCCAUGUUAAAAUACUUAAUGAAACGCUUGUGACUUCCUAAUAAAGUUUUUGUCUGCUCGAGUGUUAAUACCAUAUAGUUAUGUGUAAUUAAACCAGUGCUGAAAAAAUAACAUCUGUCUUAUGUAGAGCACUGUCAUAGCUGUGUUAUGCCAAUGAGUAAAAUUUUAUGUCCAGGCACUUAAAAUGAUCAAGCGCUAUAGUUAAGGCUGUCAUAUUGUUUAUAUAGCACUAAAAAGAAAACAAAAUACGGUUUCAGAGCAGACAGACUUUAUUUUCUUAUAAAUACUCCAAAUAAUAGGUUGGUUUCAACUAGACUUUCUGGCUCUUCAGUGAUUGCCGCAUUCUGUAUGAAUAUAUCAGAAUUCCAGGCAUUUCAUAAUUUAUGUUUAUUAUUAUAAACACAUGAUUUCUGUGUAUGGUUGCCACAACUAUGUUGGACAAAACAUAAUUUACCUCUGAAAUGGUACUGUACUUUUACUUUUGAACCUCUUUAACUUCAGCCUUGGUUGAAUAAAAUGUGCAUUCCUGAAAAUAAUCUGUACAUCUGUAAUAUGGCCGUUGAUUUUACAUGGCUGUUUUCAUACUCCAGACAUAGCAAAGCAUUUUCAAGGCAAUAUAUUUUGACAAUGCGUGGAGAUAAAAAUCAGUUAAUGACAAACUCUAAGGUGUAAAUUUUUAAUAAGAGCAAUGAAUCAUUAGAAAUUAUUAGAAAGGGAAUAGUAGAUUUUUCUAGCAUUUGAAGUUGUUGAAUGAAGAUGAAAUGUUUUCACAGACAUAUGUGCUUGAACAAACGCAUGGGUGGGGUAGAAGAAUUCCUCGUGGGCUUCUGAGGCUUUUGUUACACCUGGGGUCAGACUGGGUCAUCUUAAACGUACUUCUGGCUUAGAAGAGAGGGCGGUAUCUUGGUAUAGCUAAUACCUAUAACGUAACAACUUCCACCAAAUGGCUAUUAAAAUUUACUUGAACUUCGCUCUAAAAAAAAAAAAAAAGACAAAAAACUAACAACAACACCAACACAUCUGGGAGGGGGCAUUGUCUAAUAACUACUUUGGCAAGGCUUCUUACUUUUCAGAUCAUGCCUUUUUCCAACAUGCUUUUUAUCUCACUGCACUUGGUUCCAAAGAGCUGAACAUUUCGUUGGCUUUAGGUGGGUUUCUUUCACUCAUCCAUCCCUCCUCCCUGCCCCCCCCCCCCUCAAUUAUUCAAACAGCACAUGUUUGAAUAAUUUGGAAAAAACAGAGCAAAUGUCUUUUAUGCUGCUUACUAAGUGCAAUGCCGCCUUGUUGCUAGAAAUAAUUGUUAGGUUUAAAAUAAUCUGACAGCAUCCUGCUGUGUAUAAAUUAGGUUUGUUCACUGCUAAGAUUAGUUAGCUGGCACCCAUUCACUAACACAUCACAAAAAAAUGUUCACAAGUAGAUCGCGUCCGGUUAUCUGCCUUUUUUCUUUUUAAUGGGCUUUUUGUUGCUGUGCUGUCACCCAGGUUGAAAUAAACGUGUCCAAGUUCUCUGCAGCCUGGGGAGAUGAUAUUGGCUCUUUGGGAAAAGACCCGGGGGCAUAAGCACUGGGGAAGGGGAGAGGUUGUUUGCACUUCGAUCUCUGAAUCUUGCGCACCUUUAUUUUUGGCCAGGUUAGGUAUCUAUGCUCUAUGGCAUGCAGUAUGUUAUCAGUGAAGUCCAAUAUGCCAGGUAUAAUUAGCUCAUGUGUUUAAAGAGCUGUUGUUAUUUUUUAACUUGUAUGUACUAGUCAGCUUUCAUGCAGAAGUACGUAUUUUACAUGGAAAGAAUGCUGGGUGAUUCAGAGAAAAUAGAAAUGCUAUUUAAAGUCAUGCACUAGUGUUUUAGAUUUCAAAAAAGACCACAAGGUUUUUAUUUCUGUGUUUAUGAUUGAUUAGGGUUAGAGUUUUAAAAGCUUAAUGCUGACUAUAAGAGCUUUGUAGUCAGUCACUGAGAAUUAUGGGCUUGGCAUAAUUCACAUUUUUAUUCUUCAGUAUAUCCGUUAUUGUUAGAUGCUGAGUAGUCAUUGCACACAGAUAACUGGGUUGGUUUUGGGGGGGGAUUUUACAUCUUUACACAGUCUGAAAAAUACUUCGUUAAAGUAGCUCCCGAGUGAAUGGGGUAAUUAAAGAACUUCACCGCUUUUAUUGAAGUUGACACAUGCUGCACGUUCUGUAAAACUCAGUAUGUGAGCAGAAUGUUUCCAGGAUUUAUUGAAAGUCAGACACCUCGAGAUACUAGGGAAGCUUUCAAUAGUAGUAAAGAUAACUUCGGUUUUUACACAGUUAAAUAAACCUGUCUCUACGAAGAGAGCUAUUACUGCAAUACAUUACUCAUGACCUUUGUGUUUUCUGUAUGCAUACGUUUCAUGGAUGCAUAUGCGCAUACACCUGUGCAGAAGUGCUGAAGACCUGAGCAAUUUUGUUUGACAGUAACACCAUCGUUUAUUCUAUUUAGUAUUUAUUUGCAGAAAAAUAGUGUUGCAAUGUUGACUGAGGAUCUUAAUUUACUUGGUCCCAGUGGAAUGCUGCAGCCUAUUGAUUUUUAUUUUUUAACUGAAAUGCAAGCCUGCAUAGUUUGACUUGCAGCUCUUAGUGUCUGAGAGUUUGACAAAGCAAGUGAAGAAUCUCACUUAAUGUAAACUGCAGACUUAGUUUCAUUUUAAAUGAUACUAGUGCAGCAUUCCGCAUGCAUGAUGCCUUGGAAGUAGCAAAAAAUGUGAACCUGUAAUUGCAACACACAGUGACCAACCAUGUUAGAUGUGAAAUUCCUCAAAAUGUCUAUUGAACAGAUAUUGUUACUGAUAGUGUAAUUUUUAGCUGUCUUUUUCCAGCAUAUUGGAAUAAUUUAAAGUCAAAUUGAGAACAUUCAGUUAGUCGUCCUUUCCUGUCAAUGGCUCAUGUCUUAAAAUUAUCUUUAAGAUUUCUUUUUUAAAGUGUGUAUUUAAGGUAAUGGUAACAAACAUGCAGCUUUCAAGAUCAAACCAUAUUUUAGCUCUCGUUUGCAUUUUGUUUACGUGGCCCAUGGCAUGGAGAGCCCUGCCAAGUACACUCCACUCCUCUGGGUUUCGGUGAGAACUGAAUGACCAGAGCUGUGCACAGCUAAGCACACAGCCUUAUCAGCAUCCAUGCUUUAUGUAGAUACAGGCAAAGUGCUUUCCUGAAGGAGCAGGCGGUCUUGGAAAAUAUCAGAGGGCCAGAUUCUUCCACUGUGAACGACCCCAGCACGCAGCUGACGCUAUCAGAAGCAGCCACACCUCUGUCAGACCCAGGCAGCGCCAGGUGGGUGGAAGCUGUGGCUGGUGGCCCUGCGGCCAGCGGCCGUGGCAGCAGUGCCCAGGGAUGAGCCGGUAACUGGACGAGGGCAGGAGGGGAGGCAGGUACUAAAACAUGCUGUUUCUUGUUUUCUCAAUGCUUCCAGGUUAAAGCGUGGCCAUCUCUGUUACCUUGCUGAGAGCGAGGAAGUCACUGCAGACCAGCAAAGUGGCUGGAGGUGCCUUUUUCAAAGUCUUCUUUUUAAAUAGAAGUAAUUAAAUCUUAACUCACAGGCAACCUUUGCCUGGAAUGUCCAUUAUAUCAGUGUACUUUAAUAAGACAUAAGAAGUGCUUUGGUAGUGUUCAGUUCUUAGUAGUGUUGUAUAUCAUCUAUGUUUUGCAUGAUUUCAAAGAAGAAUGUUGCCCUUACUAUUGAAUUAUUUGUCUAAAAACAAAAAACAUCAUACUUUCACCUGUGUAUUUUGGGAUAUUUAAACUAUUAAACCUAAAGCGCUUUUCAAGCAUUGUUUGACUUACUAUUAUUGCAUGCUAUAAAAUAAAACGCAAUAUUAAAGUGCAGGCUGAACGAAUAUUAAUCAUCAGCUACAAAUAAAAAUAUUAAAAAAUAUAUAUUUUUUUCUAAUUCUUUACAGUAAGUUUUACAUUAUUUUUAUGUGGGAUGUGGGGGAAAAAAAAGAGAUUAGUGUCC
ensembl:lncRNA